rfam:Schistosoma rodhaini strain Burundi genome assembly, scaffold: SROB_scaffold0002537
AGUCUUAUGAAUGCGUGCCGAGAUUUCGUCGGACACCAAACCAUCAGGACUGAUGAGAAUGCCAAGAUAAGUGAAGUA